GGAGAGUUGCCAGAGUGGUUAAUGGAGCAGUUUGCUAAACUGUCAUCGGGUAACCGAUGCAUGAGUUCGAAUCUCAUACUCUCCGCUA
rnacentral:tRNA from 2 species